rnacentral:lncRNA from 1 species
AGAUGCUCCCAGGCUCUCCCGCAGUUUAAAGACUUAACUCAGCGGCUUUCAGGGCCUGUGGUUGAGGGACUCCGAAAGAACUGUUGCUGGUGGACCGGUUCAGGGUCUUGACUUCGCCACACAAAAGAACUUGAGAGCACGUCCAAAGUAAAGCUAAGACCUCUAGUACAGUGUUCAAUGGAACUGGUGAGAAAAGACGUCCUUGCUGUGUUCCUGAUAUGAAGAGGAAAGCAGUCCUUCUCCAUUAAAUGCUGACAACAUGAGCCUCCCGUGGUCGGAACGGGCUUGUGAAGGCGGUGCUGGGGUGCACCAGGGCAGCAGCUACAGGGUCAAGCCUGAGACACCUGAAGCCCUGGACUUGGAAUCUGAAGCUGUCAUCAGCCAGUACACCUAUGAACCUGUGGAAGACCUGAAGUACCUGUUUAAAAGACAGCCAAAAGAUAAAAUGCACCAGCUGGAGUCGACAUUAAAGGGCCCCAUUUCCCAUUUGCUGCAGAAGAUGUUUAAUUGGAAGUCUCUCCCUGUCCUUUUACCCUCUGGUGCUGGGCACCAAUGAGAAGCUCAUCUGGCCCCGGGAUCCUGGCAGGACACUGGGAGCACUAUUUCCAUGGGCAGCAGGGUUGUUCCUGGAGACAUCACUGACCCAGGACACCUAGCACAAUGGCACUCGAUGUGAAAGUGGCUUCGUACAAAUCUGCCACUCAAGCCUAAAUAAGUGCAUUCCAGAAGAGCCGCAGCCCCUCUAACAGCUCCUGAGGUGAGGGAAACCCUAGGGAUGGGAAGUUGGAGCAGAAAGAGAUGGUGGCCUGAAGUCAACUGCAGUGAAAAUCUCUCCCCAUCAGCAAGUUUUGCAAAGCUAUGGCCACAGGGACACAUGACUGGGGCCCCUCCUAGUCUUGGAAGGAGCCCCCAUGGAAAUGAGGGCCUCACAGUGAAUCCACCUCUGAUCCUACUUCACCUGCAGUCAAAUGAGAAGAGAUUUCAAUCAGCUAAAGACACCCUAUCCCCUCUCCCCGACCCCUGCGACCCCAGGAGCUCCUGCCUUGUCACUGUGUCCCCAAACGAACCGCAUCUGAAUCAAGCCCCUUUCUCUCCCUAGUGGUCAACAUCUGGGCUGUGAUGGGCAGCUCCCACUCUUGCCUUAGAAUAUGACUGGAGAGGUGACUUCUCAUCACAUGGAGAAUAUGUUCACCCCAUGGUGCUUUCCACCCAAGCUGACCAUGGCUUGACUUUUUGGUGUAGUUGCUAGCUCUGUGCCAUCCUUGGCAAUGUGACCCUGGAGCAGCUGUCCCCAGUGUGCAUUUGGGGGAUUUCAUGUAAUUAUGAAUAGGAUGCAAAUUUUAUAGCCCCAGUGAAGGGAAACACCCCUGGCGAGGCUUCCCGGGGCCAGAGAGAGGACUCCACUGAGGGAGAUGGUGGCAGGGCCAUUCUUUGUGUCCUGCUUUUUUUUUUUUUUUUUUUUUUAACAUCCUCUUUAUGUCCUGAGAGCCAUGUGCAGAUGAGGAAAAAUGACAUGCAAUGCAUUUUUGCCUGCCACAAUGACUUUGCAAUCAUAACAAGCAAAAUGUUCUAAACAGUAAGUGAAUCGAGGAAGAUAUACUGCCAAGUCAGGAAGAAAAAAUCCACCUGUUCAGUGAUUUCAGGAACUGCUGAAGAAAAUCACCAGUGAGUAUCAGUUUCUGCAAGAGAAUCUAAUGCAGGCUUUGCUUCUCAUCGGAAUCCCCCAGCUGGUGUCUUGGUUGACUGAGAGUCUGGGGGAGAGGGCAGAGAAUGGAUUUAUUCUCUGCUAGGUUUUUAACAGUCAAGAAGGGCUGUGGUCCUAAGGGGCACUGGUCAAACCUUAGUGUGCAUCAGAAUUAUCUGGAUAAGGCUAGGCACAGUGGCUCACGCCUGUAAUCACAGCACUUUGGGAGGCUGAGGCGCGUGGAUCACCUGAGGUCAGAAGUUCAAGACCAGCCUGGCUCUUUUAGUAGAGAAACCCUAUGUCUAUUAAAAAGUACAAAAUUUAGCCAGGUGUGGUGGUGAGUGCCUGUAAUCCCAGCUACUUGGGAGGCUGAGGCAGGACAGUCACUUGAAUCUAGGAGGCAGAGGUUGCAGUGAACUGAGAUCGUGCCAUUGUGCUCCAGCCUGGGCAACAAGAGUGAAACUCUAUCUCAAAAAAAAAAAAAAAAAAUACCUGGAGAGCCUGUGAACAUGCAUAGUGCUGGACCCCAUGCCAAAGAUACUGAUUCAGCCUGUCUGGGGUGGGCCAGAGAUUCUGCAUUCUGUCUAAGGAGCUCCCAGGUGAGGCACAUUUGCAGACCACAGUCUGGAGGUUUGAGGACUUGGAAGACCAUGGCUGACAUAUCUUGAGUCUCUGCCUUGGUAUCCUUUGCCAAGCAGAGAAAUGCACUGUUUAUGUUUUUCAGGAGCUCAGGAAGCAGAAUGCAACCCAUGCAGAUGUAGGGGCUGGAUUCUCUCUAUGACUGAGUGGGAGUCUCAGCCCCAAGAAAUGCCCCGGGUUGGCCCUGAAAUCCACAAUGGCUUGCUGGGCUGGAGGCCACCAGCUGAUGGGACCCAAGAGAGGAAUGAAUUAUUUAUCUGGACUCCUCACAGAGAACAAUGCCCUGCAAAUGUCCCCCGCACCAUGCUGGGUGGAAUUCAUAGUCAACCUAACAACCAGCUUAGCAUCUUCUCUCCCGGACCUUGCCCCUCCAACCGUAUCGAACUUUGAGGAGCAAUUAGGGAAUUGCUUGACAUCUUCCCUGCGAGCUCUUGGGUCACAAAAGCUAAUUAACCUUCCUCUUGCCUUCCAAACUAAGUAACAACCUCCAGAGCCAAGUCUUCUGGAACAAAACAGGAAGGAAGAAAGAAACUAAGAAAGAAGCACUGUCUCUGAUUUUUUUUUUUUAAUGAAGGUUAACAUAUAAUUUUUAAAAUGAACUCCAUGGAAAGGAGGUUGUGGGGUUCACAACCCCUGGGAGCAGUUCCAGCAGUGCCAGGACGGUCUCAGUGGCAGCCCUCUGCUCAUCUUUGAGGUCUACUUUGCCCAGCAGCUAACUCUUGUAGGUGGAAACAUGGUGGCUUCUUGUUCUCUGGGAAGUUCUGGAUGGGAACUUGAUGUGGGAAGUUGUGAGGUGCCCUGAACUUGGAGGUGGGGCUCAUUGGCACCACAGUGAUGGUCCCAUCUGUGCCAUGUAGACUUGACCAAGCAACUCAAGGUGUCCUUAAUGUCCCAGACUGAGAGAGAAUUUGCCGGCCUCCACCUUGGAAUAUUGUUGACUUUCAGUGCACGACGCAAGUCCUCUCCUUCAACACUCCUCUCUAAGAAGAUACACAGUCAAACACUUAAGGACUUGGGCUUGCGGAGGGUGUAGAUCUGGGCUCAGAUUCCCAUUCUGACACUUACUGGCUACGUGACCUACACUGUGAUUCCCAAAUGCCUGCAUAUCCACAUACCACUGUGUCCCACUGCACUAGCUACCCGGAGCUGCCAUAACACAUUGCCACUAACUAGGUGGCUUAAAACCAGAGGAAUUCAUUCUCUUAUAGUUCUGGGGGUCAGAAAACUUUUUUUUAUUUGUUUGAGAUGGAGAUUCGCUCUUGUUGUCCAGGCUGGAGUGCAACGGCAUGAUCUCGGCUCACCGCAACCUCUGCCUCCUGGGUUCAAGCAAUUCUCUUGCCUCAGCCUCCCGAGUAGCUGGGAUUACAGGCAUGUGCCACCACGCCCAGCUAAUUUUGUAUUUUUAGCAGAGACAGGUUUCUCCAUUUUGGUCAGGCUGGUCUCAAACUCCCGACCUCAGGUGAUCUGCCCCCCCUUGGCCUCCCUAAGUGCUGGGAUUACAGGCGUAAGCCACCACACCUGGCCCUGGGGGUCAUAUAUCUUAAAUCAAGGUAUCAACAGGACCAAGCUCCCCAAAAGCUCCAGGAAAGGAUACUUCUUGGCCUCUCUUCUGGCUUCUGGUGGCUGCAGCAAUCCUUGGGGUUCCUUGGCUUAUGGAUGCAUCACUCCGUACUCUGCUUCCGUCCUCACUUGACCUUCUCACCUACCUUCCUUUACGUCAUCUUCCUUCUGAGAUGCUCUGUGUCCAAAUUUUAUUCUUUGUAAAAGGAUGCCAGUCAUUGGAUCAGAGACCACCUUAAUCCAGGAUGACUUCAUCUUAACUAAAUUACAUCUGCAAAGAUUCUAUUUCUAAAUAAACCCACAUUCUGAGGUUCUGGGUGGGCAUGCUAUUUGGCAGGACAAAGUCAACACAGGACACUCAUUUUCAGGAUUGAUCGCAUGGUUUGAGGAAGCUGAUGGUGACAUCUCUUCUUAAAUCUGUUUUCAGGAAAAUCAUACUGGUAGCCUUCAAGUGGCCAUGGUGGGAGCAUUGACCCAGGGAAAUCCACAUUUCCCAACACAUGCUGGAUACCUGAGGACUCCAGAGCUACUAUCUGCUCAUAUCUGCUCAACAUUAAAAAAAAAAAAAAAACCUCACAUUGUUAAGUGAAAAGGUUUAUUGGCAGAUUUGCUUAACUCAAUUUGCAAAGAUACCUUAGACCAGGGGUCGGCAAACUACAUUCCACAGAACGAAGCUGCCCAUUACUUGUCUUUUGUUUGUUUGUUUGUUUUGUUUUGUUUUGUUUUGAGAUGAAGUCUCGCUCUUGUUGCCCGGGCUGGAGUGCAAUGGUGUGAUCUCAGCUCACUGCAACCUCAACCUCCCUGGUUCAAGCAAUUCCCCUGCCUGAGCCUCCCAAGUAGCUGGGAUUACAGGCACAUGCCACCAUGCCCAACUGAUGUUUUUGUAUUUUUAGUAGAGAUGGGGUUUCACCAUGUUGGCCAGACUGGUCUCGAACUCCUGACCUCAGGUGAUCCACUGCCUCAGCCUCCCAAAGUGCUGGGAUUACAGGCGUGAUCCUAAGUACAGUUUUAUAGGACAACCAUGCUCAUUCAUUUCCGUAUCGUCCACGGCUGCUCUACAGCAGCAGAGUUUAGUGGUCAGGACAGAACCGGCACAACCUGCACAACCUGCACAACUUUCAAAGGCUGAAUAUUUACUCUCCGGCUCUUUAGAGAAAGUUUGCAACUCCUACUUUAGACUGAUGCUUCUCCAAUGCUAACGCGCCAGUCACCAAAUCACCGGCAUCUGGUCCCAGCCUCCAACCAUAAACCACAGCUGAAUGGAAACUUGGUAGCGCUUGCCUUCAAUAGCAGAUGCUGUAAGAGGAAAGCAAGGUGACCAAGAAAACAUUGCAAAACUCUGGGCAGAAUCUGGGGCCUGAAGACUCUGAGUCAGAGGCCUCUUUUUUUGCUCUAAACACAUAUUAGCAAGAGUCCAAGAGGCAUCAAAGAUGAGUUAGCAGCAAAAUGAGGCUUUGUCCUUCAUGUAGAAAGGAUUAAAUGAUAGUUGAAAAUGCAAUAACUUUCACCCUGUGGGAUUCAGUGAUGUUCAGUGCUGUGAUUAUGUCCAACUUCAAAUCUUGCUGUCCCAACUGGGACAGCCCAAACAUAGGGAGCCACUGCACUAAGAUGUUAUGAUUUAUUAAGAUAAUAAAGCUAGCGGGAUGACAAAUGUUUCAUUUUUCCCCCAUGUGUUUCCCCCAAAGGACCGUCUGCUUUUGCAUGUGAUUUGACUAUGCGCUGAGGACCUAGCGUGGUAUAUCAGCAAAGUGGAAAAGUGACUGAAGUGACUGUUUAUCAUCUUGUACCAAGUUACACCACUUUAAGCUUUAACUCCACAGCUCUUGCAUUAUUUUAAAACCGUCUGGCAGAUCUCUAAAACUAAUGGUACAAACCACUCUGUGAUACAUUAAAAUACAUCCCACUCUGUCAUACUGCAAACAAGUAGCUGCUCCCCAGUCUUUGAAAAAGUACUUUCAAGAUAAAAUAUGUACUCAUGGGUUCUGCAGGUUUUUAAAAAGUCUUGAAUCUUCACAGAUUUACUGGGGGGGAAGGGGCGUUUCAUGUAAAAUGUGUUUUUCCUUGACAUUUAGAGGUCUUGCAAAGUGGUUUAUUAUAGAUCUUGUGGACAUCUCGCUAUUUAAUUAAAU